rnacentral:rRNA from 1 species
AUUGAACGCUGGCGGCAUGCCUUACACAUGCAAGUCGAACGGCAGCACGGGUGCUUGCACCUGGUGGCGAGUGGCGAACGGGUGAGUAAUACAUCGGAACGUACCUUAUCGUGGGGGAUAACGCAGCGAAAGCUGUGCUAAUACCGCAUACGCCCUGAGGGGGAAAGCGGGGGAUCGAAAGACCUCGCGCGAUUAGAGCGGCCGAUGCCUGAUUAGCUUGUUGGUGGGGUAAAAGCCCACCAAGGCGACGAUCAGUAGCUGGUCUGAGAGGACGAUCAGCCACACUGGGACUGAGACACGGCCCAGACUCCUACGGGAGGCAGCAGUGGGGAAUUUUGGACAAUGGGGGAAACCCUGAUCCAGCAAUGCCGCGUGAGUGAAGAAGGCCUCGGUUGGUUAAAGUACGUACUUUUCGUUCU